GACGAACGCUGGCGGCGUGCUUAACACAUGCAAGUCGAACGGAAAGGCCCUGCUUUUGUGGUGUGCUCGAGUGGCGAACGGGUGAGUAACACGUGAGUAACCUGCCCUUGACUUUGGUAUAACUUAAGGAAACUGGGGCUACUACCGGAUAGGAUCUCCUGCUGCGUGGUGGGGGUUGGAAAGUUUCGGCGGGUGGGGAUGGAUUAGCGGCUUAUCAGCUUGUUUGUGGGGUAGUGGCUUACCAAGGCUUUGACGGGUAGCCGGCCUGAGAGGGUGACCGGCGACAUUGGUACUGAGGUACGGCCCAGACUCCUACGGGAGGCAGCAGUGGGGAAUAUUGCACAAUGGGCGGAAGCCUGAUGCAGCAACGCCGCGUGUGGGAUGACGGCCUGCGGGUUGUAAACCGCUUUAGCCUGUGACGAAGCGUGAGUGACGGUAAUGGGUAAAGAAGCACCGGCUAACUACGUG
rnacentral:rRNA from 1 species